AACACAUGCAAGUCGAGGGGCAGCAUGGUCUUAGCUUGCUAAGGCCGAUGGCGACCGGCGCACGGGUGAGUAACACGUAUCCAACCUGCCGUCUACUCUUGGACAGCCUUCUGAAAGGAAGAUUAAUACAAGAUGGCAUCAUGAGUCCGCAUGUUCACAUGAUUAAAGGUAUUCCGGUAGACGAUGGGGAUGCGUUCCAUUAGAUAGUAGGCGGGGUAACGGCCCACCUAGUCUUCGAUGGAUAGGGGUUCUGAGAGGAAGGUCCCCCACAUUGGAACUGAGACACGGUCCAAACUCCUACGGGAGGCAGCAGUGAGGAAUAUUGGUCAAUGGGCGAGAGCCUGAACCAGCCAAGUAGCGUGAAGGAUGACUGCCCUAUGGGUUGUAAACUUCUUUUAUAAAGGAAUAAAGUCGGGUAUGCAUACCCGUUUGCAUGUACUUUAUGAAUAAGGAUCGGCUAACUCCGUGCCAGCAGCCGCGGUAAUACGGAGGAUCCGAGCGUUAUCCGGAUUUAUUGGGUUUAAAGGGAGCGUAGAUGGAUGUUUAAGUCAGUUGUGAAAGUUUGCGGCUCAACCGUAAAAUUGCAGUUGAUACUGGAUAUCUUGAGUGCAGUUGAGGCAGGCGGAAUUCGUGGUGUAGCGGUGAAAUGCUUAGAUAUCACGAAGAACUCCGAUUGCGAAGGCAGCCUGCUAAGCUGCAACUGACAUUGA
rnacentral:rRNA from 1 species